UGCAAGGGUCUUGGACACGUCCGG
rnacentral:piRNA from 1 species